GGGGGAUUAGCUCAAUUGGGAGAGCGUUUGACUGGCAGUCAAAAGGUCGUGGGUUCGAACCCCAUAUCCUCCACCA
rnacentral:tRNA from 1 species